rnacentral:rRNA from 1 species
GACAGAGGCCACGAACGUUGUUCGGAAUCACUGGGCAUAAAGCGCACGUAGGCGGCUAGGUCCGUCCGAUGUGAAAGCCCCCGGCUCAACCGGGGAAAUGCAUCGGAUACAGCCUGGCUCGAGGACGGUUGGGGUGAGUGGAACUCCUGGUGGAGCGGUGAAAUGCGUAGAUAUCAGGAGGAACACCGGUGGCGAAAGCGGCUCACUGGACCGUUUCUGACGCUGAGGUGCGAAAGCUAGGGGAGCAAAC